rnacentral:rRNA from 1 species
GUGGGGAAUAUUGGGCAAUGGGCGCAAGCCUGACCCAGCAACGCCGCGUGAAGGAAGAAGGCUUUCGGGUUGUAAACUUCUUUUACCAGGGACGAAACAAAUGACGGUACCUGGUGAAUAAGCCACGGCUAACUACGUGCCAGCAGCCGCGGUAAUACGUAGGUGGCGAGCGUUAUCCGGAUUUAUUGGGUGUAAAGGGCGCGUAGGCGGGAUAGCAAGUCAGGUGUGAAAUCCGGGGGCUUAACCCUCGAACUGCACUUGAAACUGUUAUUCUUGAGUGAUGGAGAGGCAAGCGGAAUUCCUAGUGUAGCGGUGAAAUGCGUAGAUAUUAGGAGGAACACCAGUGGCGAAGGCGGCUUGCUGGACAUUAACUGACGCUGAGGCGCGAAAGCGUGGGGAGCAAACAGGAUUAGAUACCCUUGUAGUCC